rnacentral:rRNA from 1 species
CGAACGCUGGCGGCGUGCUUAACACAUGCAAGUCGAACGAGAAUCUACUGAAAGAGUUUUCGGACAAUGGAAGUAGAGGAAAGUGGCGGACGGGUGAGUAACGCGUGAGGAACCUGCCUUGAAGAGGGGGACAACAGUUGGAAACGACUGCUAAUACCGCAUGAAGCAUAGGGGUCGCAUGAUUCUUAUGCCAAAGAUUUAUCGCUUCAAGAUGGCCUCGCGUCUGAUUAGCUGGUUGGCGGGGUAACGGCCCACCAAGGCGACGAUCAGUAGCCGGACUGAGAGGUUGAACGGCCACACUGGGACUGAGAUACGGCCCAGACUCCUACGGGAGGCAGCAGUAGGGAAUAUUGGGCAAUGGGCGCAAGCCUGACCCAGCAACGCCGCGUGAAGGAAGAAGGCUUUCGGGUUGUAAACUUCUUUUAAGAGGGAAGAGCAGAAGACGGUACCUCUAGAAUAAGCCACGGCUAACUACGUG